rnacentral:rRNA from 1 species
UACGUAGGGUGCGAGCGUUAUUCGGAAUUACUGGGCUUAAAGCGUGCGCAGGCGGUUUUUUAAGCCAGGUGUGAAAUCCCCGGGCUUAACCUGGGAAUGGCCUUUGGGACUGCAAGGCUUGAGUGCGGCAGAGGAGACUGGAAUUCCUGGUGUAGCAGUGAAAUGCGUAGAUAUCAGGAGGAACACCAAUGGCGAAGGCGGCUCUCUGGGACGGUACUGACGCUGAGACGCGAAAGCGUGGGGAGCGAACAGG